AAUGUUUAACAUACCACAGCGGUUGUUGUGCAACGCAUGCUGGGAAAUGUGUUUUUUCUAAACCACUUAGCGACCGUUGCUAUCAACUCAAGUUGCAGCACAAGUCCAACCGAGAGACGAGGUUUUACUUUCUAUGCGAGUGCAGUGUAAACAUGCCCAAGGGAAGAUUAUCCAAAAGUGCCCAUUCAGAUAGCAGUGAUGUAGAUACUGAUGGCACAGAAUUAGAGAAAGCCAAGCUGUUGAGACAGUACAGGAUCAUGGAUGGGGACCGGCAGGCCUACAGCAUUCAGGUUCGCCAGCAGAUGCAUAAACAAAUACAAGAGAUUGGGAACCUGAGAGCGGAGCAGGAGGAGCUGCAGCGUAAACUGGGUGCUUGUAAGAGCUUGUCCCGUCAAAAGAAAGACAAGAAGGAUGCAGCCUGCCUUCAUGCACUGAUGGAGCAGAGAGACUCGCUGGAAGUGGAGGUGGAGAAAGAAGUGCAGCAGCAAAAAGAGAUAGAGAAAGAGAUCUCACGCGUGGAGGUGAAGCUGAAAGAACUGAGAAAAGGCCAGGUCCACACAAGUGACACUCAAAGGUCUGCAGCAAGGCAGAAUCAGAAGGCCAUAAGAACGCUGGAAAACAAACUGGAAGGCGCCUUGACCCGAUUCAACGAACAAUUGACUAAGAACAGCCACCUCAGAGAGGAUCUGCAGACUCUUCACAUUGAGCGAGUGCGAUUCCAGCGGCUACACGACAGGCUGGUCCAGGAGAUCCAAGAGGUCCGGAAGAAGAUCGUGGAAGUAAUCACCGUGUCUACCGCAGCGCAUGAUGCAAGGGUGGAGGCUCAGUCCAAGUUGGCGAUGAUGAGAGAGAAGGCUGACAAGGAGCUUUCCCACUAUAACACUGAAAUGAGGGAGCUUGAAAGGGUUAUUUCCCAUGAGUGUGGCCUCAAAGACUUCAUCACCACCAAAUACAGCGAGAAAAGCCAGGAUGAUGAGCAGGAGGAGGCAGGACCUAGAAAAUUGUCAGGUGUAAAGGAGCAGGGGACGACACACUCUGCUGAGGAGUCUAAGGAUGAUUUGGAGGCGUUUUUUGAGAGGAUUCGAUCUGUGACAGGAGAGGACGAACUGGACUUGCUGGUCACCAGGUUCAUCCAGGCUGAAGACCGUAACUUUGCCCUCUUCAACUUCGUAAAUGAGCAAAACAAUGAGGCCGAGGUGCUUCGGGAUCAAAUCAGCCAGAUCCAAGAGGAAAUGGAGCGCUUUCGACUGAGAGGUUUGCAACAGGAGGAGGAUCAUCAUGCUUUGCUGAGAGACAUAGAUGUUCAACUGAAGGAAGCCCAAGUGCAAGCUCAGGACUAUGAAAACCGAGCUGACAUCUUAAGCAAAGUUCUGGAGGCGAUUAAAACAGGAGUGAGCAGCAUCUUCUCUAAAGUGGCGUCCGAUGUCUCAGCGAUGGAGGACUCCAUUAGUGAUACCAACAUGAUGUCCUACUUGGGUGUGGUGGAGCAAAAGACCAACAAGCUCCUCACCAUACAAGCCUUCCUCGAUAACAAGGAUGUCGGAAAGGAGUACAACCCAUCCGAUCUGCCCAAGUUCCUUUUUGGGCAAACCCCUGAGAUGCUCCAGGAGAACCUCCAACCUGCAGUCCAGAGUGUGGAAUAUGACGCAGACAACCUGCCUUUCACAGAUGAGGAAGAGCGUCCACUCUCACAGGGGGAACUCCGCAGAAGAAUACUGGAAGGGGUUGUGCAAAGAGAGAGUCAGAUGGCAACAAAAAGCUCCAAAACGAGCCCACGUGUUCUGGAGGACACCCACUGAUGCAAUCUGAGCGAUCCAAACAAAAACAAUGGGAAUCUAGGAAACUUCACCUGCACUGUCCAGUAUCCAGUAUGUCCCCAGUGUGCGUCUCCCUUGCCGUGGUAGCUUUGGUUGCUGUGCAGAUGGCUCUUUGUUGGUGCUUCACAAUGGAUCUGAGGUCAGUGUGCCUCAUGCCAUCAGCACACUAAAGUUCUCCUCUGCAGCUGCCUCUUGCUACUUGUACUUGUUGUUAAUUGCUCCGAGCAGCACAGCAAAGGCAUAUUUGCACUUACGGUAGUAUUAUAUGAAGUGAGUGUUAUAAAUGCACCUAUGUAGUUUAAAGGUAGCCUGAACCUUGCGCACAAUAGCGUGUGAAAGUGUUUUCCUUUUUCCUCUUUCACACAGGGAUCCCAGAAAAUAGCCGCAUUGGAGGCAUAAUACUGUAGCCUAUCUGGCAUUUAUGUGCUUGUGCUUUUCACAUAGAACCCAGCUAAGGCAGAGUGUAUUGGCACAACUGUGUGUGCCAGCCUCCAGUGUGACCUAUAAAUACAGUACUUGUCAGCAACUGUGUUCAAUACAACGAGGCGGGAGAAGGUUGUGAACUUCACAACCCGUUUCCGUUUUUCCUUUAUUCCCUUUACACCCCUGUGACAGCUCUGGUCCGAGGUGGAAAAUUGCCAGGUGGACUUCAUCCUCAUUUCCAGUUGGCGCUCUUCAUAUCAGAACAGCAAUGGUGAAAAUAAUACAACGGUACCUUUGUCAGCAGAAAAUUGCCAGAUCAACUUGUCUGUGCAGUUUACACAGAACAACACACAGAAAAAGGGAGCACAAAUGCCGGCUAUUAUAAGCAGUAAUUGUAACAAUGGCUAAAUGUCACACCCCUGUCCCAGUACUCCCUUUACACACAGGUACAGUCCUCCCUGCAGAGGUAGAAAAUAUAUGGACUAACUCAGUUGUUGCUGUUUAUACAAAACAAAAACAUGAAAAAAACUUCUAGCUUUCACAGGCAGUGUCAAAGGGACUGAACUUCAGACUUUUGACUUCCAAUGCUCCCUUUAAACACAGGCGCCGUUCCGCCUCUGUCACUGCUCUGAUGCUACCUUAAAAGACAGAAAAUUUCUGGAUCAGUUUGGUCUGUGCUGUUUCACAGAGCAGUGGCACAACAAGAAAGCCUGAAAAAUACCAGCUUACAGGCAAUGCAUGUGAAAUGGUCUAAACAUCUCACCACCGUCUUGGCCUUUCAGCUAUUCCCUUUACACAUACCUGUAGGUGCUGUCCCACCCCUGUUACGGCUCUGAUACUACAUUAUUCAGAACAGACACACCGAAAAAUGUCUGCUUUAACAGAAAGAAAGAGACUAAAGAGACUAAACCCCACACCCCUGUCCCAGCUUUCCUUCGUUGUACCACCUUGGAAGACAGAACAUUUCCUGGUUGACUCUGUUGAUAACAUUUAUGCAGAACAAAAACUUGAAAAAAGGCCGGCUUUUACAACAUUGUCCCAUAUAAGUAUAAAUACCAUAUAAGCUAAUAAUGUCAGCAUGACUGCUGUGAAAACAGUCAUUAAAAACCACACAGCUUGUGAUAAUUUAAGACUUCUGCCCAGAAUUGUAAAUUAUACUGUGUUCUCCAUUCUUGAUUUCUUCGGGAUUUUGUACUGUAGCCGUGCUUUGGUGCAUGUGGUGUCUUUGUAAAACCAACCCGACACCAGCCAGAGAAACACAAAUGCAAAUUUACCAUCUGCUGUGUGGUGCAAACAAAUGCUUGUUCAUCACUUAUGUCAUAGUCGAACCUCUUUAAUUAUUCACAGCAUAACAGGAUAUGCUAUAUACAGUAUUUGUUUAAGAUUGAAAACAAAGCCAGGUCUCGACUGAAGAAUGAGUUCCAACAUGGUGGCACAAGCAGAGCCAGGCCAUGAGGUCUGCAGCAGGAAGCAGGUAGAGCAAAAGGCGGGAAAGUAGGAACAAGAAGGAGGAGGAGCGCUUCUCGCAAAAGCUCUCGGAAUGACUGGAAAUUUCCACUUUCUCUUUGCAAGUCAGUGGCUGGAGGGGUGGGUGGAGCUUAGAGGUGAAAUUAAAUAAGGUGGUUGUAGCCAAGCACAAGGGAGGAAGACAUUUGUGAAACAUUAUUGUUAGCUUCAAUUUACUGUAAGCAACCUUAUUUACUAAAACAAAACUACUUCCUAGUGACUUUUGUGGACAAUGCAGGAAGGCAUGUGUGACCAUUUCAUUUUAUUUCAGUUUCUACAAUGUAACAAAAGCCACAAACAGAGACUAUUUGCCCCAGCAAUAUAGUUGCAUGUCCUGAGUGUAGAGUCACCACAGCUCCUUUGUCAUUCCAAAGGGAUCUGAUUAAACAACCGCACUAUUGUUGAUGCAUUUUACUCUGCUAAUUGCUAACUAGUCAAAAGCCAGAGGCCACAAGCAUAAACCAAAAUAAAUAAAGUAGCAGUGCUGUUUUUCACAAAAGGGCAAAGAGGCAAUUGAAAUCUUUUGAAGUGGAUAGCAAACACGCCUUAAAUCUUCUUGGACCACUUCCAAACACACUCUAGCAUUUUGCAAAUCCUCAAAGCACUAAUCCGUUUUACGCAUUAAAAAAGACAAGUCAACCACAACUGUCCAACAAGAUCCACCAGCCUUGGGAAUGUCAUUGCCGUAAUCAUUUCACCAUCUCUCUGCAAGUUCCAAACAAGACAUGGUUGACAGAAAUAAAGGUGUAUAACACACUUUUAUUUUUAUUUUAUUUAAAUGCAAGUUUUGGAAAAUGCAAAAGUACUCACCCUUGGAAGACGCACGACAUAAAACAACAAUAAAGUCAGAAUAUUCACCCUUGAAAGAUGCACAACAUAAAACUACAUAAGAUCAAAUGUUUGAAGGGGUAUGCGAAUAUAAAAAGUUUGGGAACCACUGUCCAAGCCCCCUUCAGUGUCAGUGCUGUUCAUACAGAACAUGGGAAAAAAGCCAACUUUUGUGGGCUGUGGGAAAGGGGCUCGGACCUGAUAUCAAAAGGGAAUGGCUGUAAUUCCUGAAUAGCAAAUGCCAUAUUUUUGUGAAAGGUCUUAAAUUAAAGCUGAAAGAGUUUAAUCACCUUUAAUGGUUUUAUUUAGACCUAACUGUAGAUUUUUUAAAUCAUAAUUAAUGUUCAAUCUUGUCUUAAACCAAUACUGUAUUUGCACCAAUGAAAGCAGUUUAUUUAUACAAUGCCUCCUGAUGGUUGUCCCUGUAAUCAUUUCCAAACUUUUCUGCAUGAUGACAUUCAGUGGUGUUAAUUCCAGAUUGAUCCAUCAAGGCGUCGCUCUUCUUUCUCCAGUGAGAAAGUCAACUUUAUGUUGGCCCACUGUGCGCUGCGGGACUCGCCUGACAAGCACAGAAAAGCCCGCCGGACCAUGUGGGACUCCUGCUGUUAGAAACAAAAGAGCUCAGAUUGCGACCACCAAUUCCUCCAAUUAUCGGGACCCCCUCCCCCCUUCCCAAACCCCCAACCCUAAUCCUGACCCUUGCUCUUUGAAGCACUUUACUCUGAGCACUGACAUUCCACAAGUCAUGUCUUUGGGCCUUUGUCCUCACAGAAUGAGGUGAAACGAAGGUGUUUUUUAACCUACUUGCCAUCCUGUAUCAUGUCACUGCAGAAGAGAACAGUCGGGGUCUUGGAAAAGACAUUUCCACAUGUUACUUUUUUAAUUUAAUUCAGAAACAUAGAGGAGCUUGUCUUUUGUGAAUGAUUCCUUUCGCUGGUGCCAUGUUGUUUUUUUUCCAUUUGGGAAAAUGUGGGGCCCUGUUGCAUCUCUUUUUCUUUGGCUACCCUACUGUUUGGCUUUUACCUGCACACAGCACACAGGCUGUCCUUUUAGCUGCAGAAACACGGAUGGAAAGAUGUGCUAGGCAAAUGAGGAAGGAGAGGAAAUUAUCUCACAAUCUGCCCGCCUCAUUCUCAUGCACGCGCCCACUUUCCACUCACAAAAAGGGACUGAGUAAUGCCUUCUGCCAUCCGUGAGUUAUUCCCAAACGUCAUUAGAUGCAAUGCAAUCUCUCGCAGUUAUUUUGUGUCUAGUAACAGCAGACUCAAUAGGCCCCAAGAACCUAGCAGUACAACCUGCCAGGGCGCAGGCAAACAAGCCUUUGAACUCUGCGUGUAAUUACUCUUCAUAAUUAUAUUUCUUAAGUGCGAGGUGAGUCAUUAAAUGGGCUUAUAGGGCCCCGAGGCUUCCUUGAAAUCGGUGGCUUGGCAGGGAGGAGAUAAGACCGGGAUGGUUAGCUCCCAGGAGAGGUGCUAAAAUUAGAGGCUGGUGACAAAGAAAAAACAGUUGGAAUAAUAAUGUCUUUAGGUAUUACAAUCUAAAAUACUGUUUGUUUUGUAACACCAGGAAAUAAACUGAGGCAUUCACUUUCACUGAUAAACUAGCUGUUCUGCUUUGUAACUGAAAGUGAUAUGCGGGCUCUACCAAGAAAAAACGACCGGGGGAAGAGCGCAAGGCCCGCCAGCGCUUGUAGUCACUUCCUUUGGUUUAACAGUUGGAUGAACGGGUUGAAGAUGAAAGGAAGUGAACUUCAGGAACCACUAAGUGAGAAAAAAAAUAAAACAGGUUUGGGAUAUAAGGAUUACUCAUUAAUAGGGUGAAUAAUUACAGUAUGUGGAUGUUGAAUCACAUAAACACACACAAAGCUAGUUUGUUCAUGCAUGAGUGCAUGUUGCAGACAUUUUUUUACCUGUUUUCUGCUGAACUGGCUAGAUAAGAAUCUUAUAAAAAAAAGAGCAUGGACGUAAAUGAAGAACUCAUACUCCAAAAGUACAGUCUAACAAUGUUAUAUGCUGCACUUUUAUGAGUAUUUGCUCUAUUUUUAUGUGUUCAGCUUUGAGGCCGCAUGAUUGACUCACAGUCAGGGGGAUCUCUUGUGUGGAGUUUGCAUGUUCACCUGUGUACUUUGAUGUGUUUUCUUCCUCCCACAUCCCCAAAACAUGCAUAGUAGGCUAAUCGGAGACUAAAUUGUCCAUAGGUGUGAAUGGUUGCUUGUCUAAUGUGUCCUGUGAUUAGCUGGCUACCUCUCGCCCCCAAAAGUCAGCUAGGAAAGGCUCAAACUCAUCUGUGAACCGAAUGAGGACAAGCAGUAUAGAAAAAUUAAUCAGUGUUUUACAUUACAUUAAACACAACAAUAACAUAAACACAGACAGAAAGCAUAGUCUCUAUGAAUGCAUGUUGCUAGUCUCUAAUUGUAUUUUGUACAUUGCCCAUGCAAAAACAACUUUAAAAUCUAAAAAUACUGAGCAUGAAGUAACUGCAUACAUACUCAAUAACCCCUAAUAAUGUUACAUGCUGCACUUUAGGUAAUAUUCUGCAACGUUUUUUGUUGCCAGUGUGUAGAAACUGGUUUCAUGGAGAGCAGUUAAAUUUAGAAAGGAAGGAGUAGCCAGCCAGGAGCAUGGUUUUCACAUCUUGACAUAAUUCCUCCCUAACUGUAAUUUGACACCACCAAGCUCGACAAAGAAAGAGUUGUAAAAAAGAUGACCAAAAAAACUCAACAUGGACUCAUGUUUUAAUACUUUUUGCUGUCUUUGUAAGACAUUAUUGAGCCGUCUUGUAUGUUCUAUAAAUAGAUGACAACUUUAACAACUUGUAUCCAUUGUUUAAAUUAAACCAUAAGAAAGACAAAAAAUGUCAUUGUAAAGCAGCACUUUAAAACGACUCACCAAUGAACUACCAGAACGCAUGGGAGGUGGGUGUUUUUGCUAGGACUGACAUUGCUUUCCUCCAAUCACAUACAGCCAUUGUCACUACUGUCCAAUCAGCUACCGAGCUGAGCCUCUGCCUCCAAGUUGAGUCUCUUUCAAGCGGCUCCACAGAAAAAGACGGGCAGACAUCAUUUCUCUCUCGGCGUUAUUGGACUAGUAUCCUUACUACGACGACGACAAAGAAGAGACAAACAUAUUUACAAUUUUCCCCAUUGAAUAGGAAUAAAAUCAUCACCUUUCCCUUUAGCCAUGGCCGACACAGCUGUUGUAGACACGACCGCCACUGCAGAGGUUACAGCCAAGGUG